rnacentral:rRNA from 1 species
UGAUACGUAGGGUGCGAGCGUUGUCCGGAUUUAUUGGGCGUAAAGGGCUCGUAGGUGGUUGAUCGCGUCGGGAGUGAAAUCUUGGGGCUUAACCCUGAGCGUGCUUUCGAUACGGGUUGACUUGAGGAAGGUAGGGGAGAAUGGAAUUCCUGGUGGAGCGGUGGAAUGCGCAGAUAUCAGGAGGAACACCAGUGGCGAAGGCGGUUCUCUGGACCUUUCCUGACGCUGAGGAGCGAAAGCGUGGGGAGCGAACAGGCUUAGAUACCCUGGUAGUCCACGCUGUAAACGGUGGGUACUAGGUGUGGGGUCCAUUCCACGGAUUCCGUGCCGUAGCUAACGCUUUAAGUACCCCGCCUGGGGAGUACGGCCGCAAGGCUA